AUUGAACGCUGGCGGCAGGCCUAACACAUGCAAGUCGAACGAGUGGCGGACGGGUGAGUAAUGUCUGGGAAACUGCCCGAUGGAGGGGGAUAACUACUGGAAACGGUAGCUAAUACCGCAUACCAUCGGAUGUGCCCAGAUGGGAUUAGCUAGUAGGUGGGGUAACGGCUCACCUAGGCGACGAUCCCUAGCUGGUCUGAGAGGAUGACCAGCCACACGGGAACUGAGAAACGGUCCAGACUCCUACGGGAGGAAGCAGUGGUGAAUAUUGCACAAUGGGCGAAAGCCUGAUGCAGGCAUGCCGCGUGUAUGAAGAAGGCGUUCGGGUUGUAAAGUACUUUCAGCGAGGAGGCGGUACUUGCAGAAGAAGCACCGGCUAACUCCGUGCCAGCCGCCGCGGUAAUAC
rnacentral:rRNA from 1 species